rnacentral:rRNA from 1 species
CGCCUUCAGAUUCAAUAUUGGAGGUCUGGUCUGCCCAGUGUAAUUAAUUAACGGCCGCGGUAUUCUGACUGUGCAAAGGUAGCAUAAUCACUUGCCCUUUAAAUGGGGGAAUGUAUGAAUGAUUAGACGAGGUUUUUACUGUCUCUUCCUUAUAAAUUGAGAUUACAAUACUUGUGAAAAUGCGGGUAAGGUAAUAAAGGACGAGAAGACCCUGUUGAGCUUUUAAGCUAAACUAUAGUACAGGUUAAGUUAAGUAAUAAUUUACAAUUAAAACGAGUAAUUUUUUUGUAGGCUUUUUGGCUGGGGUGGCAAGCAAAGAUAUUAAGCUUUGUUGUAGUAUACAUUUUGUAUUUCUAGAUAAUAUGUAUCUAUAAAUAAUUAAAUUGAUCCGUUAAAAUAGAACGAUUAAAAGAAUAAGUUACCACAGGGAUAACAGCGUAAUUCUUUUUGAGAGCUCGAAUUGACAAAGGAGUUUGCGACCUCGAUGUUGGAUCAAGAUUCCUAGCGGUGUAGCAGCUGUUAUGGGUUUGCCUGUUCGGCGAUUAAUAUCU